rnacentral:rRNA from 5 species
UGAGACUUUGAGUCUCCUGAAGGAACGUUAAAGACGAUGACGUUGAUAGGCCGGGUGUGUAAGCGCAGCGAUGCGUUGAGCUAACCGGUACUAAUGAACCGUGAGGCUUAACCUUACAACGCCGAAG